rnacentral:rRNA from 1 species
CUCGUAUUCACUAGUGAUUUCUGGUUGAUCCUGGCAGAGGCUACUGCUAUUGGGAUUCGAUUAAGCCAUGCAAGUUGAAUGAAUUUAGAUUCAUGGCGUACGGCUCAGUAACACGUGGAUAACUUACCCUUAGGACUGGGAUAACUCUGGGAAACUGGGGAUAAUACCGGAUAUUAGGCUAUGUCUGCAAUGGUUUGCCUUUGAAAUGUUUUUUUUCGCCUAAGGAUAGAUCUGCGGCUGAUUAGGCCGUUGGUGGGGUAAUGGCCCACCAAGCCGAUGAUCGGUACGGGUUGUGAGAGCAAGGGCCCGGAGAUGGAACCUGAGACAAGGUUCCAGACCCUACGGGGUGCAGCAGGCGCGAAACCUCCGCAAUGUACGAAAGUGCGACGGGGGGAUCCCAAGUGUUAUGCUUAAAGGUAUGACUUUUCAUUAGUGUAAAAAGCUUUUAGAAUAAGAGCUGGGCAAGACCGGUGCCAGCCGCCGCGGUAACACCGGCAGCUCGAGUGGUAGCUGUUUUUAUUGGGCCUAAAGCGUUCGUAGCCGGUUUAAUAAGUCUUUGGUGAAAGCUUGUAGCUUAACUAUAAGAAUUGCUGGAGAUACUAUUAGACUUGAAGUCGGGAGAGGUUAGAGGUACUACCGGGGUAGGGGUGAAAUCCUAUAAUCCUGGGAGGACCACCUGUGGCGAAGGCGUCUAACUGGAACGAUCUUGACGGUGAGUAACGAAAGCCAGGGCGCGAACCGGAUAGAUACCCGGUUAGUCCUGGCCGUAACGAUGUGGACUUGGGGUUGGAUGCCUUGAGUUGUUCGGUGCCAAAGAAACUGUUAAUCACCCGCCGGGAAGACGGCCGCAGAUGAACUUAAAGAAU